rnacentral:rRNA from 1 species
AGGUUACUGCUAUCGAGGUUUGACUAAGCCAUGCGAGUCGAAUGUAGCAAUACAUGGCGUACUGCUCAGUAACACGUGGACAACCUACCCUUAGGACGGGGAUAAACCCGGGAAACUGGGUAUAAUACCCGAUAGUCCUCGAAUGCUGGAAUGCAUCGCGGACUAAAGCUCCGGCGCCUAAGGAUGGGUCUGCGGCCUAUCAGGUAGUAGUGGGUGUAGCGUACCUACUAGCCAACGACGGGUACGGGUUGUGAGAGCAAGAGCCCGGAGAUGGAUUCUGAGACACGAAUCCAGGCCCUACGGGGUGCAGCAGGCGCGAAAACUUUACAAUGCUGGAAACAGCGAUAAGGGGACCUCGAGUGCCAGGUUGCAAAUCUGGCUGUCGUGAUGCCUAAAAAGCAUUGCAUAGCAAGGGCCGGGCAAGACCGGUGCCAGCCGCCGCGGUAACACCGGCGGCUCGAGUGGUAACCGUUAUUAUUGGGUCUAAAGGGUCUGUAGCCGGCCGGAUAAGUCUCUUGGGAAAUCUGGCAGCUUAACUGUCAGGCUUUCAGGAGAUACUGUCUGGCUCGAGGCCGGGAGAGGUGAGAGGUACUUCAGGGGUAGGGGUGAAAUCUUGUAAUCCUUGAAGGACCACCAGUGGCGAAGGCGUCUCACCAGAACGGACCUGACGGCAAGGGACGAAAGCUAGGGGCACGAACCGGAUUAGAUACCCGGGUAGUCCUAGCCGUAAACGAUACUCGCUAGGUGUCGGCCACGGUGCGACCGUUGUCGGUGCCGUAGGGAAGCCGUGAAGCGAGCCACCUGGGAAGUACGGCCGCAAGGCUGAAACUUAA